GCAUCGUGGUGACCACCCUUUAGUUAUCACUGGGUGAAGAUGAAUAAGUGUAUAAAGAUGGGGAUAAAUCUUUCAAGCCAUCAAAACUACAAAGAACCUUCUGAAACUGAUCUGUGCUCAUUAUUGCAACAGUUACCAAAAUGUUGAAUUCAUCUGUGAGAUUUGCCCCAUAUUCCAAGUGAAUUUCCUUCAUUUGGGAUGGCUCCACCAGCUUCUUCUCUAUGGGAUUUUGCUAUUGAUUUUGUGAAAUUGAAGAGGUUUAAAGGAUCUAAUUUCCGGCGUUAGUAGAAUAAAGUACACUUUCUCCUUACCACACUCAAUGUGGUAUAUGAGCUUACAACACCAAGACCGGAGGAAACUGAAGAUAAAAGUUUGGCAAAUGAAAGGGCAAGGAAGACAUGGGAUCAAGAUGACUACAUUUGCAAAGGCCACAUUUGCAAUGCCAUGUCGGAUGCUUUAUUUGACCAAUACCAUAGCAAGAAGAGUGCAAAGGACAUUUGGGAUGCUUUGAAGGCUAAAUACAUGUCUAAGGAUGCCACAAGAUAGGUCUUCGGGGAAGAUGAUUGGCAGUGCUGAGAAGGAUGGUCUCUACUACCUCUCAAUAACUGGAUGAAUACGGAAAUGCACAGUCACCUUUUUUUUGAGUGUCCUUAUUCCAAAGAGGGGCUGAAAAACUUUCGCAAAUCAAAGAAAUUCAAUUAGCCUUGGCGUCGAUGGGAUACUAGUGUGCUUUGGGCUACUACAAGAUGGAGUGGCAAGGGUCCGUGGCAAGUGGCGAACAGAUUGAUGCUUCAUGCUUUGGUGUAUUUCAUCUGGAGGGAGCACAAUAACAGGUGCUUUCGUGAUCAGGAGAGAUCUGCCUCUCAGUUGGCCCAUUAGAUUCAGUGUGCUGUGAGGGCCCGCUUGACGACUCUUCGAUUCAGAUUGUCUAUUCAGAAUUAUGCUCUUUGUCAUGUUUGGCGACUUCCGAGGGACUAGGUUUUACCUCUCCAUUGAGUUGCUGCUUGCUUGCUGUUGGGAGCUAGCUUCUGUGACCCUAGAGUCUCUUGUUCAGCGCCAGUCCUCCAAUGCCUUGUGUUCGAUGCAACCUCUCCAAUUGGGGCUCGCUUCGUUUUCAGUUUUCCUACUCGUGAUCAGCAUAGCAGGCUUGUUCUUCUGAGAUGGAUUGUUGUUUUCGAUCACACCCAGGCUUUUGUUUAUUUUCUGUACAUAAUGUCUUUUAUUUUGCUUCUUCCUAUGUUUUUCUUAUCUUAGUUUAUUUUUUCUUCUUUUAGCCCAGAAGGUGAUCGUUGUUGUGUUCUUGCCCCUGAUUUUUUUGGUUGGUCUGGGGUAUGCCUUGGCCUUGGUUUGUAGCCGAUUUGGCGUUGGUUUUUUUGUUCUAUGAAUCUCACUUACAGAAAAAAAAAAAGUUAUUUGGCUAGAGAGACUAAUGGAUGAUAUGCAAAUAUCUAUUUUAGCCCUUACAAAGCUCUACAGUGAUAGCAAGUCUAACAUAAGCAUUGUGAAUAAUCUGGUACAACAUGAUUCAAUGAAACAUGUUAGAACCGACAAGAGCUUUAUCAAACACGAGCUUGAAGAAGGUGGGAUUGAAUUGUGUUACAUUUCCUUUCAAAUGUAGGAAACAGAUGUUCUCACAAAGAUACUACCCAAGCCUAACUUUGAAUUUAUUCUUGACAAGUUGGGAAUGAUGAACAUCUAUUUCUCAACUUGAGAGUGAGUGUUGGAGAUUUAAGAUUUGCCUAUAUAUUUAUCUCUUUAUUUCCUGUAUUUUCGGUGAUUAGAUUAGGUUUGUUAGAGGAGAAGACAAGAAGAUAGGUUUGUUAGGAGAAGAUAAGAAAUAAGAAUCUCCUUGAUUAUGGGAGAUGGUUUUUUUUGUGUUUUGAUUUCUUAGGAGAUAGCUAUCAAACUUGUAGAUAUACAUGUGAUCAGCUCAAUGGAAAGUGCAAGAGAAGAAUUUAUUCUCUCUAGUACCUCUUGUUUCAUAUUUCUUGUCUUAGAAAUCCUAGUCAAGAGAACAUACUUCCACUGCCUUGCUUUCAGAACAUUUCAACUUAGAUUACAAUCACCCAAUUUUGAUUUUUUCCUUGAUAAAAAAUUCACUGGACAAAUGCUAAAAAUAUGCACAAUUCAAUGUCUAUCUCUACGGUUGUGUAGAGUACAAGGUUAACUUUUCAUUCUAGCAUUUCAAUGUCUAUCUCUACGGUUGUGUAGAGUACAAGGUUAACUUUUCAUUCUAGCAUGCUCAAGAAGCUUAUUGACUAAAAUAUCUCACCAAAAAUACUGUCGAGGUAAAAGCCUUCUUAUUAGGCCCCACACAAAAAGAAAGAGAGCCUUCCAGCUGAGAGUAAUUCCUCAAGUUCCGCAAUGUGGAAAGCAAUCCUCCAAACUAAGAGUACCUGAUCUAGAGGAUCAUUUAAGCUGCUGCUAGGGGAUGGAGAAAUGAUUAGUGUGUGGGAAGAUCCAUGGAUGCCUUCAAUGAUCUCCUUCAGACCUCAAAGCAAGUUCCCAGGUUUAAGGCAGCCAGCAGAUAUUAAAGACCUGCCAGAUUGGGAAAAUCGCAUUUAGAGGAAGGCAUAUUAGAGGAAUUGUUUUCAUCUCUCACAGUUAGUCACUGGAUGAAGAUUCUGGAAAGUGGACACAAUUAGACUGAAAAUGAUGAAUUGGAGAGUAGGAGCAAAUACCCUACCAACAAACAAGAAUUAGCUUGGAGAUGUUAUAUUGUGGAAGAGAUUGGGAGCGAAAGUUAAAAGCUUAUAUACAUUUGUUUGUACAUUUUGAAGUAGCCAGAGCAGCUUGGUUCCACUUAAGGGGGCUGCAUUCGGGUAGAUAGAUGUUUUGUGAUGUCCAAGGAUGCUGAACUUGAUGGCGAACCCAAAAAAGGUUGAAUAUACAAGGGAAAAAGGAUCAGACCAGAUGGCUAAUCUUUGUUGCAGUUCUAUUUGAAAAAAUCUGGGCUUAGAGGAACAUUUAGACUACACAAGGGAGAAUGCAAUGUUCUGGAUCAGCCUGGUUUGAACACCAAGGCAUACCAGAAGAUAAAGGCAAAGAAACUUCAAGAAAUCAAAACCCAAUCAUCAGUCAGAUGAGCUGCAAUCCAGAAAUUGGAAGCUUCAAGGUCGAUGUGGAUGCAGGUUAUAAAAAUGGGAAGACAUAUGGUGGAACUAUAUCUAGAAACCGUAAUGGAAUAGUGACAUGGGCAAUCACCCGGGUAAAGGAAAAACUCUGCUUUAGUUGCUGCAGUGGAGAUAGCUAAAGAGUCACUUACCAGAGAAGAAAACUGAAGAUGGUGAAGAUGCAAUCUGAGACUGGCUCAUUAAAAGUCAAGAGCUCUACAGGCCCUAGUCAGGACUCAAGAGCUUCAAUGGACAACAAAAACGUCUGUGCUGGAUAUCAUACUUCUUCUGAGGAACAAGCAAUUGCCAAUCAUUUACACUCAUUGAGCAGAAAACAAGGUGGCUCACACACUAGCCGCAGCGUCAAGGUCCUCCAUCUAAACAGUCAGUGAAAGAAUUAUGCCUUGAGGAACACAGGCAAACUGCCACACAUAUCAACGGGUCAUUUAUUGCGACCAACAACCAAUAAAUUCAAAGGCCGUGAGAAACCUAUAAAUACUAGCAUGAUGGUGCAUUUGAAGGGUUAGAGAAACCACUGCAAGGUUGAUAUGGUGAGGAGCAAGUGGUUCUUGGAUAGUGACUGCUCAAAGCACAUGACAGGAGAUGAGUGCCUAUUCAACUCCAUCACUUAUAAAAUGGAGGAAAUGUUGUCUACGGAGACAACUUCAAGGGUAAAAUACUUGGUAUAGGUACUAUUUUUUUUUCCAACGUAUUACUUGAGAAUGUAGUGGGAUAAAGGCUGGAUAUGUUGUUGUUGUUGUUGUUUUGUAUUACUUGAGAAUGUAUUCUUUGUUGAAGGCCCAAAACAUAAUUUGCUUAGUAUAAGUCAAUUGUGUGAUAAA